CUUCUCUCGAGUUAGCAGUGAGCCAGUGACUACUGAAUUGGCCACAAUCAAAGUUUUGGGUUCAGACGUUCAGUUUCCCGUCAUUCUCUGAAUUUCUCUUCUCUUUCCUCAUUUGCAUGUCUCCAUAGUUAUGAAAGGUUCCUUCUUUCCCCUUUUUCUUCCAUAUUGGACUGCAAUUCUGCAACUUCCAUCAUGUCCUUCAAAGUCGAGGAAGGUAUUUCUAAUAAUAGGAGAAUGCAGGGGAAAGGGAAGAAGUGGAAGCUAUGGAGGAGGCCAUUAGAAGAACUGAAUACUGAGCAAGUGUUCAAGACGACACCUUUGGUUUCGGAUUCACCCGGUGUUCAAAACUAUGCGAUAGUGCUGCUGUUGGAGGAUUUCAGGCUUGGUUUCUGUCUUAAGGGGACAAAGAGAGUUUCUUGAUCACUGACACAAGAAUGAUGUGAGUCGUGGAUUUUCAGCACUGUUUACUUGUAAGGAACUUGUAAGGAACUGUGAGAGAAGUCCGUCCAUGUUGGUAUCUGUCAGUUUGACUCAGUCCUAUACGAGGUAUGUUGUCUGCUUAAAAUUGCUAUUCACUCUUGUAGCCUAUUUUUUUCAAAGUAUAUUAAAAGGUAUUUAUCCAUUAUAUGAUGAUAUACUGGCUUAUGCAUGCUCGUUCUUUUUCAUUUGAGUAAAUGUUGCAUCAGGUAUGCCGAAUAUUCAUUCUGCAAGUCUCUUCUUUUGGCUUUGUGUGUAGCUAUAGAAGCUAAUUACAGUUUUUCUAUUUCGGGAAGGGGGAGGGGGGUGAUUGGACUAGUGGACUUGAGCUUUGAAUCACACAAUAUACUGACGUAUGUUUCCUAUAUUCGCAAUGUAAACCAUCCGUGACUGACUAUUCAAGACAUGAGUUUGACAUUGAAUAAAUUGUUGCUUAAAAGUUAUCAUAGUUCGUAAAAGCUCAAUAAUGCAAGCUUUACGUGUUUAUACUUUAUACUUGAUGUCAAAUUAAAAUGAUUUCCACAAUGGACUUGUUUUAAUGCUGAAAACACCUCACACUUUGCGUCAAUUUAUUUGGCUUUGUAUUGAGAAAGGUAUACCAUUUUGUUAAUGUAAUUUGUGAAUAAAUGUGAACUAUGCGGAGACUUGUGAACUUGUGGUAGAAUGAAAAUGCAGCUCCUUGUUCGUGUUCUUUUGUCAUUGUAGAAACAGGAACCGAAGUUCUAUUGUCUGUUUUAUCGGUAGUAAGGUGUUAUCAAACUCCGUUUUGGAGCCUUCUACCUUUUACAAGAUCAAUGUUUUGGAUAAAGGAAACGGAAAUGACAAUUGCUAAAUGUUGUCUUGGGUUAAGUUUUUUUUCCCUGCCUUAAUGUUACAGUAGGUAGCUGUUGAUGGGUAGUGCCACUUUAUGAUCAGUAAUUCAGUAGUAUUGGAAUCUCUCUCCCGUAAGAUCUGAAACUAUUGUUGUGGUUUAUUCUACUUCUUUUUAUCGUUUUGGGGUUUCAGAUUUAACUAUGAGAUCUAAUAACUUUGAUCACUCAUGGACUUGGUGGUAAGAUCAAUUUGAAAAGGUGUAUGGCAGACGAGCAGAAAAUUACAAAAUUAUACGAAGUAUUACUUUAAAGACCAAGGUAAAGAUACCAUAAAAGUAUGAACAAUUGACUUGGAAAUCGUGACGCAUUUGUUUGAACAUGUUAAUUGUUACAUUCCAUUUCAUUUACGUGUUGUCUUCUCUUCAUGCAACCCUAUUUGAAUUCGAAUGUGAAUCACUGUUCUUAUUUUCUCGUGUAUAUGGAAGUAGUCAGCCAAUAAAUCAUUGUUAUUACUUAUUAGGUUUUGGACUCCGUUAUUUGUAGAAUGUUUUUGAAGUUUUGCACUUAUUAAUCUAUAGUAACUGUUCUUGCUUAUACAUAUUGGUCUGUGAUAAGUACACGGCACUGCUUCAUAAUCUAAAGUCCUUCAGGACUUCUAACCAACUCGUAGUAAACUUAAGUCCUCUUACUCUGAAAUACCCAUGAUUUAAGUUCUAUGAUUGCAGACUAUUGUGGUCUGAUGUUGUAAGACCACUAUCUGAUAGUUUGUUCUUAGUUCAUCAAAAUAUUUGCUCUCUUUAAAGUCACAAUAAAAUAUACAAGUAGUUUAAAAACAUCGAAGUGUUGGAGCAUAUUUUCACGUAAGAAGGCCUGUGGUUAUUACCUUCUGAAGAUGUAUAUCGAUCCCUUUUGAUGUUUUUGACAUGCUUAAAGGGUAAAUUUCAUUGAAUCAUGCUUUUUUGGUAAGAAAUUUCUUGGUUCACAAUGAUGAUAUUUGUUACCUUAUCGACUUACCGUUCGCACCCCAAAGGAUCUUCAUAAAAGGAAGCAUAUCAUGUCUGAUUUUUUUUUUUAAAAAAAAUACUCCGCAUUUUAAAUUUUGUAUUUUAUGUAAUCAAUGGGGUGCUUUAAAAUUUUUAACCUUUCACAUGUAAAAUACCACCCACCUCAGCAUGACGUGGUGGAAACUCUAUGCCCUACUCCUAAACCCUAAUUCAUUCCCUAUAUAAAUGAUGCUCACACAUCUCUGAAUCAGUGUGCUUCUAUUGGCCUUCCUUCUAUCUCUCUCUUCUCUCUCUUCUCUCUCUUUCUUUGGUUUUCUUUGUCAUUGUUCUGAGUAGCAAGUUAUCAUGGCGAUCCAAAAGGAUCGAAUAGCUUUUAUGCUUGCUACCAUGAAACGUCCAAGGAAGAAGAAAAGAAAGAAGAAAUCUAUGUUCCAACAUAUAUCAUAUUGCAUCAGCGAUUUACCAAAAUAGUCCCUAAUGAACUGGAGUUGUCGCCGCACUUGGAUCCACUCUCCUUUCACCAUGUCCAGAUCCGAUCUUUCAAAAUUUCGUUAUUGGUCGAGUGUUGAAUGUUCUCUUACAAAAUCAACCUGGCUGAAAACGAAACAAGAUUGAGAAUGAGAUGGAUUUGGUGGAUCCCUCUGCAGACAUGAUCUCCUUCCUCGAGUACUCCAGUGAGAUGAAUGCAAGUAGUUCUUCAAAGGCCUGAUCUUUGCUAAGAGUGAUUUCAACUCGGCCUUGUUAACUCACCACCUGAAGUGUACAUAACUACAUAUGUACAUGUCAGUGAUUUUAACUCGGCCUUGUUAACUCACCACCUGAAGUGACUACAUAUGUACAUGUCAGUGAUUUCAACUCGGCCUUGUUAACUCACCAGCUGAAGUGUACAUAACUACAUAUGUAUAUGGUCAGUGACUCACUGGGACUUUUUAUGCAAGUAGGAAGGAGGGUAUCAUGGUCAUUUUGUUGCUGUAAGUUGUUGUAUCACACAGGAGAGAGAGUUUGGUGCAAUGUGCUGGGUGAUUUAUUUAUACUCUGUGUGUAUCAUAUGGAUUUAAGUUAGGAGGUUUUGAGAGAAGACUGUCCUAACUUCUGUGUGAUUUUCCUUUUAAAAAAAAUGUAUCAAGUGGAUUGCAAACGAAGUGUGUGCCAAAAAUAUUGUGAAAAAUGUAAGGUUUUGGGACGUUCUAACAUGUAUACAUAUAUUAUUGACCUUUA